rnacentral:rRNA from 1 species
UACGUAGGGUGCAAGCGUUAAUCGGAAUUACUGGGCGUAAAGCGUGCGCAGGCGGUUGUGCAAGACAGAUGUGAAAUCCCCGGGCUCAACCUGGGAAUUGCAUUUGUGACUGCACGGCUAGAGUGUGUCAGAGGGGGGUAGAAUUCCACGUGUAGCAGUGAAAUGCGUAGAGAUGUGGAGGAAUACCGCUGGCGAAGGCAGCCCCCUGGGAUAACACUGACGCUCAUGCACGAAAGCGUGGGGAGCAAACAGG